UAUUUUCCGAGACAAAUCUAUUGAGCCUAAUAGUCCAUGCUUAGCGAAUGUGAUGCUACAGUAAACAUUUGCUAAUCGUGGAUUAAUUAGGCUUCAAAAAUUUGUCUAAUGAAAGUCUUUAUUUAUGCAAUUAGUUUUGUUAUCAGUCUAUAUUUAAUAAACCUAAUUAACAUUCAAAUAACCGAUGUGACGAUGAACUAAAAAAAAGUUCCUGGAUCCAAACAGCCACUUAGCAGAGAACAUGGAGAUGAAUUCAGAGAAGAUUAAACAGGGAUUAAUUAAUUAAUUAAACAUACAGGGAAUUAACACCAUUUUUUUUCCUGGAUGGAUGGAUGGAUGGAAUGGAAUGGAACAGUAGUGGCAGUGGGAUGCAAUGCAAUGCAGCUAAUUAAGCUAGGAAUCUUCUAGAAUGAUCAGCAAGAAAGAAAUGAGCUUUUGCUGUUGUUGUCAAUGGAUUCAUCAUCAAGUUGGUUGGUUACUCGAGCCGGAGUUGCUGCGGCGAGCUCGGGCUCGGGGCUGCGCCGCCGGGCUCGGGGUGCGGCGGCG
rnacentral:lncRNA from 1 species